GGGAGGCAGCAGGUGGGAAUAUUGCACAAUGGGCGCAAGCCUGAUGCAGCAACGCCGCGUGCGGGAUGACGGCCUUCGGGUUGUAAACCGCUUUCAGCAGGGACGAAGCUUUUUGUGACGGUACCUGCAGAAGAAGCACCGGCUAACUACGUGCCAGCAGCCGCGGUGAUACGUAGGGUGCGAGCGUUGUCCGGAUUUAUUGGGCGUAAAGGGCUCGUAGGCGGUUGAUCGCGUCGGAAGUGGAAACUUGAUGCUUAACGUUGAGCGUGCUUUCGAUACGGGUUGACUUGAGGAAGGUAGGGGAGAAUGGAAUUCCUGGUGGAGCGGUGGAAUGCGCAGAUAUCAGGAGGAACACCAGUGGCGAAGGCGGUUCUCUGGACCUUUCCUGACGCUGAGGAGCGAAAGCGUGGGGAGCGAACAGGAUUAGAUACCCUGGUAGUCCAUGCCGUAAACGUUGGGCACUAGGUGUGGGGACCAUUCCACGGUUUCCGCGCCGCAGCUAACGCAUUAAGUGCCCCGCCUGGGGAGUACGGCCGCAAGGUUAAAACUCAA
rnacentral:rRNA from 1 species